rnacentral:sRNA from 1 species
AUAAUCUCGGUAGGUGAGGUUACUAUAAGGAUAUGGAUUGCUGCCGUAAAAGGGUGGAAACACUCUGCACUGGUUAGCAGGUUUUGUCGCAAGGCUCAACCUAAUGCAAUUUCAGCGCCUUAUAAAGCCAAAACUUGAACGAAAAGAG